CGGAGGAAGUAAGAAGGCAGUUCCCAGAAAAGGGGAGAGGGCAGGGCUGCUGAACAAUAGGGGGCCACGUUCUGGUAAAUUCGUGGUGUUCGGUAAAUGCUGUUAAUGCUCGCUGAGCUGCUUUUCUUUGAACACAGUAGGCCCCUGAACACAGCUGAGUCGUUAUGGCCCUGGUCGUCUAUAGUGGCUCUUGGUAACCUGCAUUCCCUUGGCCUGGCUCACUCCUGCUUUCAACCUUCGGCCUCCUAAGAGGCCUCCUCUGACCCGGACUCAGCAUACACUGGAUGUACUAGGACUAGCUGUAUGGAGUUCUCGCCUUGGCUUCCCCACAGGGAUGGACUAUAACCUGGAACUGUAAGCUGAAAAAAAAGUGAAAGACAUUUUGAGGACCUUUAUUAUCCAAACCUAACUUCUACCUCACUCAGUCAUCGAGGAACUCAUGGCAUCUGAGAAAGAGGCGAGAUUCAGACAGCAAGAGGAGCAGCUGUAGCAAAGCUUCUCCUCUAAGAGUCCAAGGCCUAGAAUUCAUGCCAGCAUCUCCAGUCCAUCCCAUACACGGGGUUGCCACAGUCCUGCCUCCUCUGGAACUUGAUUCUCCGCUGCCACAAUGAGAAGCUAGAUCCUGUUGCCUCAGGCUGUCCCACUCUGAACCAAUCAUCUCACAGUUCACGUCCUGCAGUUGGGCCCCACAGAGUGUGAACUGGAUCCCACACUGCGAAUGAGAACCCUGUGAACCCUGGACAGGUGUGCCCAUAACUUGGGGGUUAUGUAUCCUUCUCUCUCCCUUCCAACAGCAAACAACUCUUGUGGAGCCAUGGCCUGCCCACCAUCGCUUUGUGUGCAUGACUCUUGAAUUCUCUUAGUGAGUGUAAAAUACUUCAUAUACAAUGAUAAAACUGA